CCUUACACUGACGCUGAGGUGCGAAAGCAUGGGGAGCAAACAGGAUUAGAUACCCUGGUUAGUCCAUGCCGUAAACGAUGUCUACUAGCCGUUGGGGGACUUGAUCCUUUAGUGGCGCAGCCAACGCAUUAAGUAGACCGCCUGGGGAGUACGGUCGCAAGACUAAAACUCAAAUGAAUUGACGGGGGCCCGCACAAGCGGUGGAGCAUGUGGUUUAAUUCGAUGCAACGCGAAGAACCUUACCUGGCCUUGACAUGUCUGGAAUCCUGUAGAGAUACGGGAGUGCCUUCGGGAAUCAGAACACAGGUGCUGCAUGGCUGUCGUCAGCUCGUGUCGUGAGAUGUUGGGUUAAGUCCCGCAACGAGCGCAACCCUUGUCCUUAGUUGCCAGCACGUAAUGGUGGGAACUCUAGGGAGACUGCCGGUGACAAACCGGAGGAAGGCGGGGACGACGUCAAGUCAUCAUGGCCCUUACGGCCAGGGCUACACACGUGCUACAAUGGUCGGUACAAAGGGUUGCCAACUCGCGAGAGUGCGCUAAUCUCAAAAAGCCGAUCGUAGUCCGGAUUGGAGUCUGCAACUCGACUCCAUGAAGUCGGAAUCGCUAGUAAUCGCGGAUCAGAAUGCCGCGGUGAAUACGUUCCCGGGCCUUGUACACACCGCCCGUCACACCAUGGGAGUUUACUGCACCAGAAGUAGGUAGCCUAACCGCAAGGGGGGCGCUUACCACGGUGUGGUCAAUGACUGGGGUGAAGUCGUAACAAGGUAACCAAUCCCGC
rnacentral:rRNA from 1 species